ensembl:lncRNA
CUCGGAUCAGUCCGCAUGUUCACGGUGCAUUUUUUAUGGAAUAUGUUGAGCAAACCUGGAGAAGCUCAGCUCAAGAUAUUAUUGUUGUCAUUGCUGUGGAUCUUUACCUGAUACACUGACUUGGCUCGGGACCAGCACUCCUGUUGUUGGACAGAAAGACAUCAACUUGAGAUAUGACUGCACUAUGCUGUUGCUGGUGACCACAGUUAAUUCUACAAGACAUGCUGUGUAAGUAAACAAACAACAACAGUUUGGUCUGCAUUUCUUGAAAGAUCACAUCCCCCAAACUUAGUUUAGAGGGUCUACACUGUAUAUAGUGAAGUCUGCAAGUUUUCUAACAGCAAAAUCUGUUUUGUGCCCCAAAUCAUUUUGCACAUCAUUAGAAUGAAAGUUAUUGGCCAUGUUUGCAUAGCCCUUUUUAAAAUGAUGCUUUCAUGACAUUAUUGUGUGUUGGGUGGUGGUCAGGGCUAUCCAGACUGACAAUUUGGGACAUUGAAUGUCACCUCUCCAGUGGGGAGGGGGCCUGAGAUCGUCUAAAUUGGAGUCUGUUCUAUACCGAAUGCAGAAAAAAAUGUUUUAAGAAAGCAAUUAAGUUCAUGUUCCAAAAAAUAUGAUUGUUUGCUUGCAGGACACCAGGAGAGAUGAGUCCUCCGUCACAGAUGGUGUGGUCAGUGAAGAUGGUCGCCUGCAGGUUCAAGCUCAUUGCAUCUCCA